rnacentral:rRNA from 1 species
AGUGAACGCUGGCGGUAGGCCUAACACAUGCAAGUCGAACGGCAGCACAGUAAGAGCUUGCUCUUACGGGUGGCGAGUGGCGGACGGGUGAGGAAUACAUCGGAAUCUCCUUUUUCGUGGGGGAUAACGUAGGGGAACUUACGCUAAUACCGCAUACGACCUACGGGUGAAAGCAGGGGAUCAUCGGACCUUGCGCGAUUGAAUGAGCCGAUGUCGGAUUAGCUAGUUGGCGGGGUAAAGGCCCACCAAGGCGACGAUCCGUAGCUGGUCUGAGAGGAUGGUCAGCCACACUGGAACUGAGGCACGGUCCAGACUCCUACGGGAGGCAGCAGUGGGGAAUAUUGGACAAUGGGCGCAAGCCUGAUCCAGCCAUACCGCGUGGGUGAAGAAGGCCUUCGGGUUGUAGAGCCCUUUUGUUGGGAAAGAAAAGCAGCAGGUUAAUACCCCGCUGUUCUGACGGUACCCAAAGAAUAAGCACCGGCUAACUUCGUG